AUGCUGCCACUGCCCACGGCGGGGGCGGUCGCCGGCUCGCCGCCGCAGGGGUAGCGGCGCCCCUCGGGUCUCGUCCGCUCCGCCUCGUCGCGACUCGAGCCACCACUACCCCUUCUUCUCCCACUACUUCCACCUCGGCCAUAUCCAACGCGUCACCAGCGGGGCAUUCCCGCAAGGACCUGUCAGGCAGGGACGGCGCCCCGUCUAAGCCCACCAAGCCCCGGGUGUUCUUCCUCGACGUCAAUCCUCUAUGCUUCCGCGGCUCCCAGCGCAACCUCGGGGCCUUCGCGCGCUGGCUGGCGCUCUUCUUCGCGCACGUCAGCCUCCGUGACCCUGUCGUUGCUGUUUUGGACGACGAUGGAGAGAACGAGUACCGGAGGCGGGUGCUGCCUUAGUACAAGGCGCAUAGGGCUCGCGGCGUUGGCACUGGCGCUGACACGCGCGUCGUCAACGUUCUCUGCAAAUGCAAUGUCCCGGUUGUAAGAGUCCAUGGAUACGAGGCUGAUGAUGUGGUGGCUACCUUGACAGAACAGGUUCUACAGAAAGGUUACAGAGUUGUCAUAGCCUCACCAGAUAAAGAAUUCAAGCAGCUAAUAUCUGAUGACGUACAGUUAGUCAUGCCCAUUCCUAAGAUUGGCCGAUGGUCUUUCUAUACAUUAAGGCAUUAUGUCGCUCAAUACAAGUGUGAUCCAACUGCAGACUUAAGCCUUAGGUGCUUCAUGGGUGAUGAAGCAGAUGGUGUUCCAGGAAUCCAGCACUUGGUUCUGGGAUUUGGCAGAAAGACUGCACUUAAACUACUGUAAAAACAUGGUUCAUUAGAAAACUUGCUAAACACAGCUACAAUUAGAACUGUCGGCAAAGGUUAUGCCCAAGAUGCUCUCACUAAGCACGCAGAUUACUUACGGUGAAAUUAUGAAGUUCUUAGCCUGAAGAGGGAUGUAAAUGUUCAGUUUGAUGAUAGUUGGCUAUCCACGAGGAACACAAGCAAUGAUACCUAUGUUCUAGCGGACUUCAUUCUUAAACUUAAUGGCGAAGGCAGAAGCUAAACAGCUGGUACACUGAAAUAUUUGAACAAGCUGGACUGUUCCUCACCAGACACAUGAUUUAACAAGAAGACAGAUGCAUAAAGGUUGGAGGGGGCAGUUGCUGGAAAAAAUGUGCAUACAACAUACUAUAUAUCCUUGCUCCAAAGUAGUAGCCAUCACUCAUCACACAUGAGUACAUGACAAAUUCUUGCUUGUGUUGUGGAACUGGACACUGAAGUAGCCUACCUGUGUUGAAGCUGGGUGGAAAAUAGAAGUUUGGAGGGUCUGUCUUUGGUGGAUACAUGCGUACAUGGUGUCCGGAACAAAGUUAUGAACAGCCAAAAACAAGCUGUCAUGGUACUACUACUAGCUGUAGCCUGUAAACUGCACAGACACCUUGCCAGGAGAUUACAGAUGGAUGCUUCAUGCUUCAGUAGCAACUCGUUGAUGUAUAUUGCAUGCAAUUUAGAAAUAAUAUAUGUCCCAAUGUAUUUGUCAGGAAGCAUCUUUAAAUCAUUAGCGACUCCAGGGUUUCAUGAAUCCAGGCUAGAUCAUUAUAAUGUAUAUUUACUGGCAUCGGAUAUUGUUUUACUAUUCCCUCAUUUUUUUAUCUGUCACAUUUUAGUUCAAAAAUAAAGUAUCGAGCAACAAAUAUUCGAGAA